AAAAAACUUAUGUUUCAUAAUGUUAGAAUUCAAUUUGUCAAUUGAGAAUUGAUUCUUCUUAGAUACAAAUUAUGAUAAUUUAGAUUAUUCCUUGAAUUUUUCAUUGAGAGGAAUAAAGGAUUCAAAAUCCCUUUAAGUAAGAAAUAAAGUUUUUGAUCGAGAUAUGAAUCAAAGGAGGGCGGGAUCCCUUAACUUUUAAGGGGUCCGUAGAACGAAUCGCACUUUUACCACUAAAACAUACGUUUCUACAAAUUAGAGCGUUCUCGUGUGUCGUAAGGGGACCAACCCCCCUAAUCAAUUAAAAAGGGGGGCGAAUCUCAUUUUUUUUAAUUCAAAUAAAUCAGAGUUAUCUGGAAUUCCUGGAAACAGUCCCCGAGCCCGGCUAGACUCUGGCUGGGCUCUGGCUGUAGCAAAAAAAAAAAUAAAUAAACCACAAAAAAUGGAAUGAGAAUAAAAAAAGAAAUAUAAUAAAUAAAAGAAAUAUUAUUCUAAUAUAAACAUUAAUAGAAAUCUAAACAUAGAAUGAAAUUAUCAAAUAAUUUAGAUAAUGAAUAUAAAGAAUAUGAAAAAU
rnacentral:lncRNA from 1 species